GACAGAGGGUGCAAACGUUGUUCGGAAUUACUGGGCGUAAAGCGCGUGUAGGCGGCUCUGCAAGUCAGGUGUGAAAUCCCACGGCUCAACCAUGGAAGUGCACUUGAAACUGCAGGGCUAGAGUCCUGGAGAGGAAGGUGGAAUGCUUGGUGUAGAGGUGAAAUUCGUAGAUAUCGAGAGGAACACCGGUGGCGAAGGCGGCGAUCUGGACGAUGACUGACGCUGAGACGCGAAAGCGUGGGGAGCAAACAGG
rnacentral:rRNA from 1 species